rnacentral:rRNA from 1 species
AUUGAACGCUGGCGGCAGGCUUAACACAUGCAAGUCGAACGAGUGGCGGACGGGCGAGUAAUGCUUGGGAAUCUAGGUUAUGGAGGGGGAUAACUACGGGAAAAUGUAGCUAAUGCCGCGUACGAUAGGAUGAGCCCAAGUGGGAUUAGGUAGUUGGUGAGGUAAAGGCUCACCAAGCCGACGAUGUCUAGCUGGUCUGAGAGGAUGACCAGCCACACUGGGACUGAGACACGGCCCAGACUCCUACGGGAGGCAGCAGUGGGGAAUAUUGCGCAAUGGGGGCAACCUGACGCAGCCAUGCCGCGUGAAUGAAGAAGGCCUUCGGGUUGUAAAGUUCUUUCGGUAGCGAGGCGUUAACUACAGAAGAAGCACCGGCUAACUCCGUGCCAGCAGCCGCGGUAAUAC